AUGACAAAGUUUAAAAGUUGGAGCAUCUCGGACGCGCGCUCAGCGAGGAGCAGCGGGCCAGCCAUCGUGCUGCCAAGGAACGGCUGCCUCGAAAAUCCGCCGGCGCCGGCGCGCACUUGGACCAGAGGAAGAAGGUGUGCGGGGUGAGGCCGGAUCUGGAUGUGAACGCUGCUGUGUGUGGAGGGAAAGCAGGAGUUGGUCCCGACUCUUUGGACGAUUUUGAUGAUGACGCUUUCGAGGAGAUUGAUAGCUUUGACGCGAUGGAGGUUCUGCAGCAUGUCUCCGGAAGCUCAAUGUGUCCCAAAGGGAUGCAGCGCUGAGCAACAUUUAUAAGCCACUUCUGAUUGUUGCGGGGCCGGGAAGUGGAAAGACCCUUACAAUGGUCGCACGUAUUCUGACAGGUACGCAUUGGAGAUGGUGAAACGCUUAAGGUUUGUAGUCCCUGGCAAUCUGAUAUGGUCGAUUGUAUUUUGAACCAGAACAAUCUUUGUCGAGCCUAGUGACUGCUGUAUUGAAUAUGCUACCGCAGAGACGGGCUUUUGGAGCUCGUGCAGUUGUGGAUGAAUCGGGGGGAAAGCUCUUGAACUAGGAUGAAGAUUGUUGGACUGCGAGCAAAUUUUUCAUCUUUCUUUUGGAUGAUGUUUCGGAAUUUCUGAGUAAGCACCUUAGGAUCCAAGAGGAAGUGAAAGAAAAUCCUCGACCGCCGGGAUGCUCAGUGCUUCUGAGAGAACAUAUAACUGUUCGAGAGACCGAGAACUUCGAACUCGGCCGAGAAGAAAUCAUAGUUCAGUAACGUUGACAACGAUGCAUCAGUCGAAGGGACGGGAGUGAGACAGCGUGUUCAUUUUGAAGGCCAACGAGUUGGGAAACACCACUGCUUCACGAGUCGUCAUCUUUUGAGGAAGAGAGGAGAUUGUUCUACGUUCCAAUGACUUGUGGAGAAAUUAUAUAUAGUAUAUAUAGUGGUAAACUCAUAAAGACAGAUCUUGCAGCCAUCGCGAUUAUUAAGUGAAUUGCCGUGUCAGCAUUUGCAGUUCCAGGCAGUGCUUGCGAUUGUUUUUACGGAUUCUUUGCAGGGAAUAUCUGACUGUCCUGGCAAAGUUAAGCUAUUGCAACCUCCAGGCUCCGUGUCUAACUUGUCUAGAAGGGACGAGAGCGCGUUAGUGGAUUGGUCCGCGUUUUAGAAGUUUCAAUGUCUACCAUCGCGUCUAUAUUCUGCUUUCCAAGAUCCAAAACGUCUGCUCACUAAAGUUUGAUUGUAUAGCUAUCGACGAGCGGCUGCGAUAAAAAACUGCGAAGAACAAGGAUACAUUGCACGCGUUGAAACGUUCAUUGACAGAUAGUGUACCCCGAUCAGGUGAGAUUAAUUGGUCGAAACUACGUAGAUCAAGUCGUAUCUUUUUGUAUUUUUUUUCUGUUUUCGGUUGCACUGUGAAACAAUCGUCACGUCUUCAUGCGUCGAA